rnacentral:rRNA from 1 species
CUAGUAUAGCAUCUAUACGGUGAAACUGCGAAUGGCUCAUUAAAUCAGUUAUCGUUUAUUUGAUAGUACCUUACUACUUGGAUAACCGUGGUAAUUCUAGAGCUAAUACAUGCUAAAAACCCCGACUUACGAAGGGGUGUAUUUAUUAGAUAAAAAACCAAUGCCCUUCGGGGCUCCUUGGUGAUUCAUAAUAACUUAACGAAUCGCAUGGCCUUGUGCCGGCGAUGGUUCAUUCAAAUUUCUGCCCUAUCAACUUUCGAUGGUAGAGUAGUGGUCUACCAUGGUUUCAACGGGUAACGGGGAAUUAGGGUUCUAUUCCGGAGAGGGAGCCUGAGAAACGGCUACCACAUCCAAGGAAGGCAGCAGGCGCGCAAAUUACCCAAUCCCGACACGGGGAGGUAGUGACAAUAAAUACUGAUACAGGGCUCUUUUGGGUCUUGUAAUUGGAAUGAGUACAAUUUAAAUCCCUUAACGAGGAACAAUUGGAGGGCAAGUCUGGUGCCAGCAGCCGCGGUAAUUCCAGCUCCAAUAGCGUAUAUUAAAGUUGUUGCAGUUAAAAAGCUCGUAGUUGAACCUUGGGCCUGGCUGGCCGGUCCGCCUCACCGCGUGCACUGGUCCGGCCGGGUCUUUCCUCCUGGGGAGCUGCAUGCCCUUCACUGGGUGUGUCAGGGAACCAGGACUUUUACUUUGAAAAAAUUAGAGUGUUCAAAGCAGGCCUAUGCUCGAAUACAUUAGCAUGGAAUAAUAGAAUAGGACGUGUGGUUCUAUUUUGUUGGUUUCUAGGACCGCCGUAAUGAUUAAUAGGGAUAGUCGGGGGCAUCAGUAUUCAAUUGUCAGAGGUGAAAUUCUUGGAUUUAUUGAAGACUAACUACUGCGAAAGCAUUUGCCAAGGAUGUUUUCAUUAAUCAGUGAACGAAAGUUAUGGGAUCGAAGACGAUCAGAUACCGUCGUAGUCUUAACCAUAAACUAUGCCGACUAGGGAUCGGGCGAUGUUAU